GAUGAACGCUGGCGGCGUGCUUAACACAUGCAAGUCGAACGGGAAACCUUUUAUUGAAGCUUCGGCAGAUUUAGCUGGUUUCUAGUGGCGGACGGGUGAGUAACGCGUGGGUAACCUGCCUUAUACAGGGGGAUAACAGUCAGAAAUGGCUGCUAAUACCGCAUAAGCGCACAGAGCUGCAUGGCUCAGUGGGAAAAACUCCGGUGGUAUAAGAUGGACCCGCGUUGGAUUAGCUGGUUGGUGGGGUAACGGCCCACCAAGGCGACGAUCCGUAGCCGGCCUGAGAGGGUGACCGGCCACAUUGGGACUGAGACACGGCCCAGACUCCUACGGGAGGCAGCAGUGGGGAAUAUUGCACAAUGGGGGAAACCCUGAUGCAGCGACGCCGCGUGAAGGAAGAAGUAUCUCGGUAUGUAAACUUCUAUCAGCAGGGAAGAUAAUGACGGUACCUGACUAAGAAGCCCCGGCUAACUACGUG
rnacentral:rRNA from 1 species